GUGGAUCCCGUUAUCAUUUUAAUCAUCGCCAUCAACAGUUUAUAUAUCAUAAACCGAUAAAGGCCAAAGAAGGACGAGGAAGGAGCUCAAACAACCAAAGUACUGAACCCUCUCCUCAGGAAGUCGUUCCUCUGUGAGAUAACGGGUUCAACCUCCUGACCUUAUUACCGCACCAUCAGACACAGCAGGCAUGACGUAACACAUCUCAGGAAGUGGUGGCGCUCCACUGUGUUGGAGAAUCUCCAUACUGAAGGUCAUUGCAGACGGUUUGCUCAUUUCACGGAGGAGGGCAGAGACAUGGCAAGAGGAACUCUACCACCUAUCUUCGGUAUCCCGAGGAAGCACUAAGUGUCCGAAAUGGAGGAGACAUAAUAUUUGUCUUUUCUUUGUUUCUUUAUUUUUUUAUUGGUUUGUUUGAAGAGAAGAGCAGAAAAUAAAAUUGAUAAUAAUGGAUACCAAUUCCAAGAAAAACAUUAUUUGAAACGAAAUGAAAUCAU